rnacentral:rRNA from 1 species
AGAGUUUGAUCCUGGCUCAGAAUCAACGCUGGCGGCGCGCUUAACACAUGCAAGUCGCACGAGAAAGUGGAGCAAUCCAUGAGUAAAGUGGCGUACGGGUGAGUAACACGUGGAUCAUCUACCUUUUAGUGGGGAAUAACCCUGGGAAACCGGGGCUAAUACCGCAUAAGCUCGUAAGAGGAAAGCAGCAAUGCGCUGAAAGAGGAGUCCGCGGCUGAUUAGCUAGUUGGCGGGGUAACGGCCCACCAAGGCGAAGAUCGGUAGCCGGCCUGAGAGGGCACACGGCCACACUGGCACUGAAACACGGGCCAGACUCCUACGGGAGGCAGCAGUGGGGAAUCUUGCACAAUGGAGGAAACUCUGAUGCAGCGACGCCGCGUGAGCGAUGAAGCCCUUCGGGGUGUAAAGCUCCUUCGACGGGAACGAUAAUGACGGUACCCGAAGAAGAAGCUGCGGCUAACUACGUGCCAGCAGCCGCGGUAAUACGUAGGCAGCAAGCGUUGUUCGGAAUUACUGGGCGUAAAGAGUGUGUAGGCGGUGUUCUAAGUCUGUUGUGAAAUCUCCCGGCUUAACUGGGAGGGUGCGGCGGAGACUGGAAUGCUAGAGUAUGGGAGAGGUAAGCGGAAUUCCUGGUGUAGCGGUGAAAUGCGUAGAUAUCAGGAGGGACACCUGUGGUGUAGACAGCUUACUGGACCAUGACUGACGCUGAGACACGAAAGCGUGGGUAGCAAACAGGAUUAGAUACCCUGGUAGUCCACGCCCUAAACGAUGCAUACUUGGUGUGAGCCAUUCAUUUGGUUCGUGCCGGAGCUAACGCGUUAAGUAUGCCGCCUGGGGAGUACGGUCGCAAGGCUGAAACUCAAAGGAAUUGACGGGGCCCGCACAGCGGUGGAGCAUGUGGUUCAUUCGACGCACGCGAAGAACUUACCUG